UACGUAGGUGGCAAGCGUUUGUCCGGAAUUAUUGGGCGUAAAGCGCGCGCAGGUGGUUCCUUAAGUCUGAUGUGAAAGCCCACGGCUCAACCGUGGAAGGUCAUUGGAAACUGGGGAACUUGAGUACAGAAGAGGAAAGUGGAAUUCCAAGUGUAGCGGUGAAAUGCGUAGAUAUUUGGAGGAACACCAGUGGCGAAGGCGACUUUCUGGUCUGUAACUGACACUGAGGCGCGAAAGCGUGGGGAG
rnacentral:rRNA from 1 species